rnacentral:rRNA from 1 species
UUGGAGGGCAAGUCUGGUGCCAGCAGCCGCGGUAAUUCCAGCUCCAAUAGCGUAUAUUAAAGUUGCUGCAGUUAAAAAGCUCGUAGUUGAAUUUCGGGACCAUCAUGUCGGUCGUGCCUCGGUACGUACUGGUAUUGUUGGUUUCUCCCUUCUGACGAACCAUGAUGUCAUUUAUUUGGUGUUGUGGGGAAUCAGGACUGUUACUUUGAAAAAAUUAGAGUGUUUAAAGCAGGCUCACGCUUGAAUACAUUAGCAUGGAAUAAUGAAAUAGGACGUUUGAUUCUAUUUUGUUGGUUUCUAGGAUCGACGUAAUGAUUAAUAGGGAUAGUUGGGGGCAUUAGUAUUCAAUUGUCAGAGGUGAAAUUCUUGGAUUUAUUGAAGACUAACUACUGCGAAAGCAUUUGCCAAGGAUGUUUUCAUUAAUCAAGAACGAAAGUUAGGGGAUCGAAGACGAUCAGAUACCGUCGUAGUCUUAACCAUAAACUAUGCCGACUAGGGAUCGGAUGAUGUUAAUUUUUUAAUGACUCAUUCGGCGCCUUACGGGAAACCAAAGUGUUUGGGUUC